rnacentral:rRNA from 1 species
UGCUUGCUAGUUUCGCUUGAGGAUAGGGCCGCGUCCGAUCAGGUCGCUGGUGAGGUAAUGGCUCACCAGGCCUAUAACCGGUACGGGCCGUGAGAGCGGUAGCCCGGAGAUGGGCACUGAGAUAAGGGCCCAGGCCCUACGGGGCGCAGCAGGCGCGAAAACUCCGCAAUGCGCGAAAGCGUGACGGGGUCACCCCGAGUGCCGUCCGCUGAGGAUGGCUUUUGCCCGGUAUAACUAGCCAGGUGAAUAAGGGGAGGGCAAGUCUGGUGUCAGCCGCCGCGGUAAUACCAGCUCCCCGAGUGGUUGGGACGAUUAUUGGGUCUGAAGCGUCCGUAGCCGGCCGGAAAAGUUCCCCGUUAAAUCUGGCGAUCCAAUCGUUGGGCUGCGGGGAAUACUCUUCGGCUUGGGGGCGAGGGAGGUCGGCGGUAGUCCCGGGGUAGGGGCGAAAUCCUAUAAUCCCGGGAGGACCACCAGUGGCGAAGGCGGCCGACUAAAACGCGCCCGACGGUGAGGGACGAAAGCUGGGGGAGCGAACGGGAUUAGAUACCCCGGUAGUCCCAGCUGUAAACGAUGCAGGCUAGGUGUUGGGACGGCUACGAGCUGUUCCAGUGCCGCAGGGAAGCCAUUAAGCCUGCCACCUGGGAAGUACGGCCGCAAGGCUGAAUUCUCACGAAAAAUUUCUCGCGAAAAAUUACGCGACGUGGGACAGUUCACUUAAAGGAAUUGGCGGGGGAG